GAUGAACGCUGGCGGCGUGCUUAACACAUGCAAGUCGAACGAGAAGUGGAGACGGAAACCUUCGGGCGGAAGACUUUACUUCGAGUGGCGGACGGGUGAGUAACGCGUGGGUAACCUGCCUCAUACAGGGGGAUAACAGUUGGAAACGACUGUUAAUACCGCAUAAGACCACAGCACCGCAUGGUGCGGGGGUAAAAACUCCGGUGGUAUGAGAUGGACCCGCGUUCGAUUAGCCAGUUGGCGGGGUAACGGCACACCAAAGCGACGAUCGAUAGCCGAUCUGAGAGGCUGACCGGCCACAUUGGGACUGAGACACAGCCCAAACUCCUACGGGAGGCAGCAGUGGGGAAUAUUGCACAAUGGCGGAAACCCUGAUGCAGCGACGCCGCGUGAGUGAAGAAGUAUUUCGGUAUGUAAAGCUCUAUCAGCAGGGAAGAAAAUGACAGUACCUGAGUAAGAAGCCCCGGCUAACUACGUG
rnacentral:rRNA from 1 species